UCUUCAGGCGACGAUAAUUGUUGUUAAUGUUAUAUCUGUAAUAUAAUAUAAUAUAAUAUUAAUAUAGUAUAACAUUAACAACAAUUGUCGCCUGAAG